rnacentral:lncRNA from 1 species
AGAAGCAUUGAUCAACCAAGUCAACAACUCAAGUCAAACAAAAGUCAACCAAAAAUCAAACAAAAAUGAAUUAAAAAGGAAAAUUAAAAUGAUUUAUGAUGAAAAAUAAAGAGAAAAUUAAAAUCAAGCACCAAAACAUAAAAGAAAUGGUUGAGAAAACUAUGAGAAGUCAAAAAUAUUACAAAUAAAAAGACCUCAAAAG